rnacentral:rRNA from 1 species
GACGAACGCUGGCGGCGUGCUUAACACAUGCAAGUCGAACGGUAAGGCCCUUCGGGGUACACGAGUGGCGAACGGGUGAGUAACACGUGGGUGAUCUGCCCUGCACUUCGGGAUAAGCCUGGGAAACUGGGUCUAAUACCGAAUAUGAUCAUCAGCUUCAUGGUUGGUGGUGGAAAGCUUUUGCGGUGUGGGAUGGGCCCGCGGCCUAUCAGCUUGUUGGUGGGGUAAUGGCCUACCAAGGCGACGACGGGUAGCCGGCCUGAGAGGGUGACCGGCCACACUGGGACUGAGAUACGGCCCAGACGCGUACGGGAGGCAGGAGUGGGGAAUAUUGCACAAUGGGCGCAAGCCUGAUGCAGAGACGCCGCGUGAGGGAUGACGGUCUUCGGGUUGUAAACCUCUUUCAGCACAGACGAAGCGCAAGUGACGGUAUGUGCAGAAGAAGGUCCGGCCAACUACGUGCCAGCCGCCGCCGUAA